UACGGAGGGUGCAAGCGUUAUCCGGAUUCACUGGGCUUAAAGGGUGCGUAGGUGGGCAGGUAAGUCAGUGGUGAAAUCUCCGGGCUUAACCCGGAAACUGCCAUUGAUACUAUCUGUCUUGAAUACCCUGGAGGUGAGCGGAAUAUGUCAUGUAGCGGUGAAAUGCUUAGAUAUGACAUAGAACACCCAUUGCGAAGGCAGCUCACUACGGGAAUAUUGACACUGAGGCACGAAAGCGUGGGGAUCAAACAGG
rnacentral:rRNA from 1 species